GACGAACCGUGCGAACGUUGUUCGGAAUCACUGGGCUUAAAGGGCGCGUAGGCGGGCUUGCAAGUCUGCGGUGAAAGCCUCCAGCUCAACUGGAGAAGUGCCGUGGAUACUGCGGGCCUCGAGGAGGGUAGGGGCAUCUGGAACGUUGGGUGGAGCGGUGAAAUGCGUAGAGAUCGGAAAGAACACCAACGGCGAAAGCACUCUGCUGGGCCGACACUGACACUGAGAGACGAAAGCUAGGGGAGCGAAUGGG
rnacentral:rRNA from 1 species